rnacentral:rRNA from 1 species
AAACAGAUAAGAGGUCCCGCCUGCCCUGUGACUAUAUGUUUAACGGCCGCGGUAUUUUGACCGUGCGAAGGUAGCGCAAUCACUUGUCUCUUAAAUGGAGACCUGUAUGAAUGGCAUAACGAGGGCUUAACUGUCUCCUCUUUCAAGUCAAUGAAAUUGAUCUCCCCGUGCAGAAGCGGGGAUUCACCCAUAAGACGAGAAGACCCUAUGGAGCUUUAGAURAUGGAAUAGACCAUGCUAAAUCUCACCAGAUAACGCACAUAGAAGCUAAAUGGGCCCUAUUCUUACAUAUCUUUGGUUGGGGCGACCGCGGAGCAACAAAGAACCUCCACAUGGAAUGAGCACACUUGUUCUUAAAACUAAGAGUUACACCUCUAAUUACAGAAAUUCUGACCAAUAAUGAUCCGGCAACGCCGAUUAAUGAACUCAGUUACCCUAGGGAUAACAGCGCAAUCUCCUUUUAGAGCCCAUAUCGACAAGGAGGUUUACGACCUCGAUGUUGGAUCAGGACAUCCUAAUGGUGCAGCCGCUAUUAAGGGUUCGUUUGUUCAACGAUUAAAGUCCU